UGGCUCAGCUCAGUUGGUUAGAGCAUGGUGCUGAUAAUGCCCAGGUUGCAGGUUCGAUACCUGUAGGGCGCAA